UCUAACCGGAUAGGGGUUUUUGAUGUCAUCCUUUUAUAAUUAGGUUUUAGAAUACUGUGAAUCGUACGUACCGAUGAAAAUUUUGGUCACGACGACUCUUUUGCUCCGGCUCCGGCGACUAUGACGGCUAGAAAACGUUGUAGCUUCGACUCAGUUGUGAAAUUGCAAAAUGAUCAUGAGGUUCGGAAGUGAAGACUGGUUGAUUUGUGAUUAGGCUCUGCGUGCGUGAAGAAUGAAUGAAGGGAGCUUUCUGAUGUAGAAUGGAGGAUUGGUGCAGAACUGUGGAAAACUGAUGUAGAAGUAGAGGUUGAAGAAGACUUGUUGCAGAUUAAUCAAGAAACUGAGAGGGUGAAGAUCGAAUGAUUGGAGAUGGAGAUUGAAGAGUGAAAAAUGCAGAAUUUUCUUCCUCCUAUGAAUGCUUCAAUUAUGGAAUUCAUCUAAAGUUCACAUUAAAUUCAGAGUCAUGGUUGGAUUGAAGUUAUAUGGAAUGGCUAUUUGUGGAUUGAAGACGACCUGUUAGUGCAAGUUCUACUGCAAGUCGUAUGUUAUAAUCAAGUACUUGGCAAGUGUUUUGUUGCAGGAUUAUAGAGUGAAGUUAGAAGGGGUUCUCAAGCUCAGUUAGGAAGAUGUUUUUUUUUUGCAGGAUUGGUUAUGGGUUCUGUUUCAAGUUGGU